CCAGGAAAACCAUUUUUCUUUUCUGGAGGGUGACCGUUACUAGCAUCGAUUUCACGGAACUGGUAACAUGGCAAAAGAUGCCGGUCUAAUUGAAGCCAACGGGGAACUCAAGGUCUUCAUCGACCAGAACCUCAGUCCUGGGAAAGGCGUGGUGUCCUUGGUUGCUGUCCACCCCUCCACAGUGAACUCUCUCGGGAAGCAGCUCCUGCCAAAGACCUUUGGACAGUCCAACGUCAACAUCUCGCAGCAAGUGGUGAUUGGUACACCUCAGAGGCCUGCAGCGCCAAACACUAUCGUGGUAGGCAGCCCACACACCCCGAACACUCACUUCGUCUCCCAGAACCAGCCUUCAGAGCCCUCUCCUUGGUCUGCUGGGAAGCGCAACCGGAAAGGAGAGAAGAACGGGAAGGGGCUGCGGCACUUCUCCAUGAAGGUGUGCGAGAAGGUGCAGCGCAAGGGGACGACGUCCUACAACGAGGUGGCCGACGAGCUGGUGGCCGAGUUCAGCGCGGCCGACAGCCACAUCCUGCCCAGCGAGUCGGCCUACGAUCAGAAGAACAUCCGGAGGCGCGUGUACGACGCGCUGAACGUGCUCAUGGCGAUGAACAUCAUCUCCAAGGAGAAGAAGGAGAUCAAGUGGAUCGGCCUGCCCACCAACUCCGCCCAGGAGUGCCAGAGUCUAGAGGUGGAGAGACAGAGGAGGCUGGAAAGGAUAAAGCAGAAGCAGUCGCAGCUUCAGGAGCUCAUCCUGCAGGUUAGGGGCCCCUGCGCGGAGGCUGCCCUCCAGGCACUCGGUUCCGGGCGUGCUUCCCCUGGCCUCUCGGGGGACCAGCCUCCUCGGUGUUGGCUGGGGCUGGGCAGGGCCGUGGCAGAUGCCCAGGGGGAGGUUAGCUGUUCAGUGGCCGCGGGCCUCAGCGUGGGCCCACUGUGCGUCUUUUUUAGCAAAUCGCCUUCAAGAACCUGGUGCAGAGGAACCGCCAGGUGGAGCAGCAGGCCAGCCGGCCGCCCCCGCCCAACUCGGUCAUCCACCUGCCGUUCAUCAUCGUCAACACCAGCAAGAAGACCGUCAUCGACUGCAGCAUCUCCAACGACAAGUAGGCGUGAGGGGGGCUCCGCCCACGGGUGUGGGCGGGGCUUGCUGUGCCCGCCGGCGUGGGCGGGGCCUGCUCUGCCCCCGCUGUGUGGGAGGGGCCUGCUCCACCCCCCCCCGCUGUGUGGGCGGGGCCUGCUCUGCCCGCGAGCGUGGGUGGGGCCUCCUGCUCUGCCCCCUGCUGCGUGGGCGGAGCCUGCUCUGCCCCCGCUGUGUGGGAGGGACCUGCUCUGCCCAGCUGUGUGGGAGAGGUCUGCUCCCCCCCCUGUGUGGGCGGGGCCUGCUCUGCCCCCGCACCCCCCCCCCCCGCUGCAUGGGAGGGGCCUACUCUGCCCCCCAUGUGUGGGCGGGGCCUACUCUGCCCCCUGCUGUGUGGGCGGGGCCUGCUCUGCCCGCGAGCCUGGGCGGGGCCUACUCUGCCCCCUGCUGCAUGGGCGGAGCCUGCUCUGCCCCCGCCGUGUGGGAGGGGCCUGCUCUGCCCAGCUGUGUGGGAGAGGUCUGCUCUCCCCCCCCGCUGUGGGCGGGGCCUGCUCUGCCCCCCCACCCCCUGCCCCCGCUGCAUGGGAGGGGCAUACUCUGCCCCCCAUGUGUGGGCGGGGCCUGCUCUGCCCCCGCUGUGUGGGCGGGGCCUGCUCUGCCCGCGAGCAUGGGCGGGGCUUGCUCUGCCCGCCAGCGUGGGUGGGGCCUGCUCUGCCCCCCCUGCGUGGGCGGGGCCUGCUCUGCUCCCCCCCUGCGUGGGCGGGGCCUGUUCUGCCACCCCCCCCCCCCCCGCUGCGUGGGCGGGGCCUGCUCUGCCCGCGCUGCGUGUCUGACAGGCCGCGUGGCGCGGCUCCCAGGGAGUUCACUGGCGGGUUUCCUUACCCGGGCUGUGCAGCUCCUUGGAAAGGAGGGCGGCGGGGCGCAUCAGGACGGCAGGCGGCACCUGGGGCCUGUCCCGGUGGCGUCGCUGCCUCCGAUGGGUGGGUUGUGUGCCGGGGGAAGGUUUGCGGGCUCGGGGCCCCAAGUCAGGCGUCGGCUCUGUCCUGGAUAUGGUGCUUUUCUGACGGUGACCGUCGCCUCCAGGUUUGA
rnacentral:lncRNA from 1 species